GUGGGGAAUUUUGGACAAUGGGGGCAACCCUGAUCCAGCCAUCCCGCGUGUGCGAUGAAGGCCUUCGGGUUGUAAAGCACUUUUGGCAGGAAAGAAACGGCUCUGGUUAAUACCUGGGGCAACUGACGGUACCUGCAGAAUAAGCACCGGCUAACUACGUGCCAGCAGCCGCGGUAAUACGUAGGGUGCAAGCGUUAAUCGGAAUUACUGGGCGUAAAGCGUGCGCAGGCGGUUAGGAAAGAAAGGUGUGAAAUCCCCGAGCUCAACUUGGGAACGGCACUUUUAACUACCUGACUAGAGUGUGUCAGAGGGAGGUGGAAUUCCGCGUGUAGCAGUGAAAUGCGUAGAGAUGCGGAGGAACACCGAUGGCGAAGGCAGCCUCCUGGGAUAACACUGACGCUCAUGCACGAAAGCGUGGGGAGCAAACAGGAUUAGAAACCCGUGUAGUCC
rnacentral:rRNA from 1 species